AAAAUAGAUACCCCCGGGUAGUCCAUGCCGUAAAACGUUGGGCACUGGGUGUGGGGGACAUUCCACGUUUUUCCGCGCCGUAGCUAACGCAUUAAGUGCCCCGCCUGGGGAGUACGGCCGCAAGGCUAAAACUCAAAGGAAUUGACGGGGGCCCGCACAAGCGGCGGAGCAUGCUGAUUAAUUCGAUGCAACGCGAAGAACCUUACCAAGGCUUGACAUGCACCGGACGGCUGCAGAGAUGUGGCUUUCUUUGGACUGGUGCACAGGUGGUGCAUGGUUGUCGUCAGCUCGUGUCGUGAGAUGUUGGGUUAAGUCCCGCAACGAGCGCAACCCUCGUUCUAUGUUGCCAGCACGUGAUGGUGGGGACUCAUAGGAGACUGCCGGGGUCAACUCGGAGGAAGGUGGGGACGACGUCAAAUCAUCAUGCCCCUUAUGUCUUGGGCUUCAAGCAUGCUACAAUGGUCGGUACAAUGGGUUGCGAAACUGUGAGGUGGACGCGAAAUCCCGAAAAAGCCGGCCUCGAGUUCGGAUUGGGGUCUGACC
rnacentral:rRNA from 1 species